CAAAAUACUGCUGAGGCCCAUCCCUAUCUAUCUGUCUGUCUAUGGAGUGGAAAGGUAGUGGAAAUCAGGAGUCAUGCACUGAAAAGAGCAGAAAGUGGACUGCUGAAAGUCAGAAAGUUGUGGGAAAAGUAGAGGGCUCGUGCAUCUCAGAUAGAAGAAAAAGAUCCAUUAUAACAAAGGGCAAAAAGACCCAGGGCUGACCCUUUAAGGACACCUUCACUAGUCCAAGUGCCUCUUACAUGUGCAGAGACUUUUUGCCUGACAAGAAUCUGUUGAAUGUCUCUGUCAGCACAGAGGGAUGGAAACACAACAGAAAGGUAAGGGAAAGGUGCAGGAGGCCGAUAGUAGGGCAGGACAAGGAGAACUGGGUUGUCAGGGUGAAAAAGUCACUGACAAUGAUGAUACUUCCUAAACGGCAUGAGUAUCCUUGACUUAAUGGGCAAGGAUAAGGAGACAAACACUGCUCACUAUAGCAAGUCUUCCUCCAUUGCGCUGCAAUGGCACUGCAGGAGAAAAAUGACCUUGUCAUGUUACUUCAUGGCUAUUGCCAGGUCAUUUUCAUAUCUUCUGCCAAACUGAGAAGUUACAUUCCUAGGAAAUGCAGAACCCAGGAUAAUGGCAGGGAAGUGGACAGUAAGGUUUUUGGGAUAAUGGAAAUUAAUCCUCAGUGAAACAAAAGCAGCCUGGGGAAAAUGGUUGUCUCUGAUUUUCGGCGGUGUCCCCCACUCCCUCCCUUGCUUAUCUCUUAAUGUAUUUGUUUCACUGUGCUGAUACCAAGUGGUAGAAGCACAGGGAGUAGAAAAGGAACAUGUUAGGAUGUUUCAGUAGAAUGACAAGGACCUAGAAAUUAAUUCAAAAGAGAAGGAAAUAGAGCAGUAAUGAAUAAAGAAGAACAUAUUUUAAGUAUUAAUUUUCUUCUCCCAAGGAAAUUGAGGAAUGAUUGUUUGAAGGAGAGAAAAGACAUGGGAGAGAAUAGAACUGUGUGCACUGUCUCGUGCUACACCAGUAGAAGGGGAGGAAGGAGGGUCCACAGCAGAGGCCUGGCAGGCUGGUGGAGUUGGAAGAAGACCUUUCCAUUUCUUGUUGUCCAGCUGGCUUGUUGCAAACUGAUGAUUGCUAGUCCCAUGAUAUCUUUGAUAGCAUGUCUGAUGUACUAAUGAGGAGAAGCUGAGGAUAUAUUUGGUAGCAUGUCUGAUGUACUAAUGAGAAGCUCCAUUCACUACUCAAAAGAGGGAUUAGGACUCACAUCACCAUUCUAGCUUGUCACUCACCAAGGAAUUAAAACCUUCUUUGAAAGUGGAAUUUACUGACCCCACGAGAGAGCCUCGGGCUAAGGAAAUGAUGCUUUAAACAUGAGAUCACUGAAAUAAAAUAAUGCAUUAGCUAGAGAGCUUUCAGCUUUCCAAGCUGUGGCAGAAAGCCACUGGGCAACAUUACAUAGAGGCAUCUGAUUCGUACUCCAGCCAGAUCAUCACAAAUGCUGUUGUCAUUUCAUCUGCUGUAGAAAUAGUGAAGAUCUGCAGAGAUUCCAGGAGAUAGAUAGCAUUUAAAGAGUUUGCAUGUCUAGUAUGGAAGAAGUUUUGAUGUGCGUCUUUCCUAAUGGAGGAAAAUAUCUAUUUACUGUCCUGGUUUUAUCACUGACAGCUAGCCAUGUUGACCAGAAUGUCUCAGUGUCUUUGGAGAAAAGAACCUGGAACCUCAUGAACCAACUCUCUCAUGAGGGAGGACUCUGAACCUCCCAAGAGUGAAGCUUCAGUUUUCAUUUGAUCACGGAGACUGAUGAAAUCUCCACUCUGGAUGAAUUCAAUUGGAUCUGAGUUCCCCUAAGGAUGGAGCACCACUGGGUGCCGUACAGCUCAUGUCAUGCCUGCAGAUCAUCCUUCAGAGGGCAGUUCCCUGGAUGUACAGUGCAAACUGAUACAUCUCUAAGGACUGAAGGAGUAGGCAGCUCCUACAUGGAGGGAAACCCAGGCUAGCAAGAAGCAGAGGCUCAUUAAGGCAGCCAAGACUGUUUUGCCUUCUUUUUCAGUGGAGAAAGAAUAAUGUGGUAACAAGGCUGUUGAAGCUGAAUUCCCUACUCCCUCAUACAUGUCCAUCCAAUAAUGUCUCACCAGGACAAGGAAUUUUUUUCUUCCUGUUUUGAUUUUGCUUGCUUAUUUGUGUGUCUCUCCCUUACUUUUGUUGCACAUCUUCAGGCACUCAUGUGUAUUUGUCUGAUCUCAUACCAGAGAUGGAUCAUGGGACCACAGUGACAAAACUGUACUGUGGGUCCUGGGAAGUUACCAGUGCAGAUAAAUGAAUGCUUGAAGGGUUUAGAUGCAACACAUCACUUCCGUGACACUGAAUUUCGAAGCAGUUAAGUGAAACCAAAUAAUUAAUAUACUUUCACUUAGUUUAAUAUCACACCCUAGUGUCAUGUGUUGUAUUUUUCCACAUUGAUCUCAGUUUCUUGCCUCUGCCUCUGAAUAGUACGACCUUGAAGAUGCAGCAGCAGCCACACUACUGAUCAUGCUUUCAGGAAAGUGACAAGACAAGUCUGCUUUUUAGAGGUAGAUUUUUUGCCAAGGCAUCAGACUUCAAAUGUUUCUGCCAAGGAGUUUAGAAAGCUUUCAAGCUCUUUUCUUUUAUCUAUUCCUGGAAGAGAAGCCUUGAGAUACAGUUCCUUCUACCAGUGAGCAUGAAGUACCCUGUUUGUUGGGAAGAUUUCAACUCCUGAUGACAUGUUUGCAGUAGACUGAUCAGAAAAGACAGGUUAUUCUUGAAAUAAGACCAAACUGAUACCUUGAAUAUUUAUAAGUCACCAUGAUUGGAUGACAUUUUCCUGAAAGUCGUGAAGGAAUUCAAAUGUGAAACCAUGAACUGCUGGCCAAGCUGUAUAACCUGUCAUUAAUGUAUCUGUGCCAGAAUCCUUGUGGAUUGCCAGUGUAACUCCUGCUAUGAAAAACGUGGGAUGCUGAAGGUUGAUUCAAUGUAGCUACAGCUCUUGAGAGAUAAUUUCCCCCUGAUUAAGCAAGGUGGACCAGACUGCCAUUGACAGAGGAGUAAUCCCUUACCUCCAAAAGACUGAGAAAAGUUGGAGAAAUUCCUGAGCUUCCCUCAGGUAAUAAAGAACUAUUUUCUGAAAGAUUUUCUUGCUUCCCACUGCUGUUACCAUCCUGAAGACAAAGCAUUCACAGGUGGCCUUUUAAGAGAAAGAACAAAUAAUCCAAGAUGAUACAGUUUAGUGUUGAUCUCCUCUCCAUCUCUGGAAAACUUCUGUCCUCUAAAUUCUUUGAUCUACCUACCAGGCAAGCUCCCUCCUAUCUCCUUGACCCUUCUGAAAGAUAUCACCCUGGCAGGGAAAGAUUGCAAAGAUGAAAACCCAGCCUAGGACAGGGAAUCACUCACCAGAUAUUCAAAUAGCAAGUGUGGGGCUGUUCUGGGAGAAAUGGUAGUGUCACCACAGAAUUUCAUUAGUAGAAUGAAUGAAGACAGCUGAGCCAGAUCAGAAUAAAAGACCAUUUAACUGCAUAUCCUGGCUGUGAGACUGUCCAGUGGCAAAUUCCUUGUGGAAGAUACAAGAGCAUGGAAGUAUGUAGUCAGUCCCUCCAAAUAUUCUUUUAGCUUCCAGCAGCCUGAGAGACAGAUGUUGAAUCUCUGCAUUUAAUUGUGUUCUUCCUCUGCAGUUUCUCUGCCCAUUUAUUUUAUGAAACAACAUAAAUGCUUUUUACUCACACUCCCCUGAGUCAAGGUAUCUAAGGAUGAAGGCAUGCUGUAUGAAGAAGCCUUAUACUUUCUUUGCACCUACCUCUUGUUCUGAUAUCUUUU
ensembl:lncRNA